AUUGAACGCUGGCGGCAGGCUUAACACAUGCAAGUCGAGCGAGGGAAGUUGCUUCGGUAAUUGACCUAGCGGCGGACGGGUGAGUAAUACUUAGGAAUCUGCCUAUUAAUGGGGGACAACAUCUCGAAAGGGAUGCUAAUACCGCAUACGCCCUACGGGGGAAAGCAGGGGAUCACUUGUGACCUUGCGUUAAUAGAUGAGCCUAAGUCGGAUUAGCUAGUUGGUGGGGUAAAGGCCUACCAAGGCGACGAUCUGUAGCGGGUCUGAGAGGAUGAGCAGCCACACUGGGACGGAGACCCGGCCCAGACUCCGACGGGAGGCAGCAGUGGGGAAUAUUGGACAAUGGGGGGAACCCUGAUCCAGCCAUGCCGCGUGUGUGAAGAAGGCCUUAUGGUUGUAAAGCACUUUAAGCGAGGAGGAGGCUCUUUUGGUUAAUACCCAAGAUGAGUGGACGUUACUCGCAGAAUAAGCACCGGCUAACUCUGUGCCAGCCGCCGCGGUAAAAC
rnacentral:rRNA from 1 species